AGUGAACGCUGGCGGUAGGCCUAACACAUGCAAGUCGAACGGCAGCACAGUAAGAGCUUGCUCUUACGGGUGGCGAGUGGCGGACGGGUGAGGAAUACAUCGGAAUCUACUUUUUCGUGGGGGAUACGUAGGGAAACUUACGCUAAUACCGCAUACGACCUACGGGUGAAAGCAGGGGAUCUUCGGACCUUGCGCGAUUGAAUGAGCCAAUGUCGGAUUAGCUAGUUGGCGGGGUAAAGGCCCACCAAGGCGACGAUCCGUAGCUGGUCUGAGAGGAUGAUCAGCCACACUAGAACUGAGACACGGUCCAGACUCCUACGGGAGGCAGCAGUGGGGAAUAUUGGACAAUGGGCGCAAGCCUGAUCCAGCCAUACCGCGUGGGUGAAGAAGGCCUUCGGGUUGUAAAGCCCUUUUGUUGGGAAAGAAAAGCAGCAGGUUAAUACCCCGCUGUUCUGACGGUACCCAAAGAAUAAGCACCGGCUAACUUCGUG
rnacentral:rRNA from 1 species